GAUGAACGCUGGCGGCGUGCUUAAUACAUGCAAGUCGAACGGAGACAAUAGCAAUAUUGUCUUAGUGGCGAACGGGUGAGUAACGCGUUGGUGACCUGCCCCGAAAGAGGGGGAUAACAGUCCGAAAGGAUUGCUAAUACCCCAUGUGGUCAUAUGGAUUAGAUGCCUAAUGACUAAACGGAUUUAUUCGCUUCGGGAGGGGCCUGCGUCCCAUCAGCUAGUUGGUAAGGUAAUGGCUUACCAAGGCGAUGACGGUAGGGGACCUGAGAGGGUGGCCCCCCACAAUGGAACUGAAACACGGUCCAUACACCUACGGGUGGCAGCAGUAGGGAAUAUUGGUAAUCUGGGAAACCGGGAACCAGCAACGCCGCGUGCACGAUGAAGGCCUUCGGGUCGUAAAGUGCUUUUCUGUGGGAAGAAGCGGACGGUACCACAGGAAGAAGUGUCGGCUAACUACGUG
rnacentral:rRNA from 1 species